GACGAACGCUGGCGGCGUGCUUAACACAUGCAAGUCGAACGGAAAGGCCCUGCUUUUGUGGGGUGCUCGAGUGGCGAACGGGUGAGUAACACGUGAGUAACCUGCCCUUGACUUUGGGAUAACUUCAGGAAACUGGGGCUAAUACCGGAUAUGAGCUCCUGCUGCAUGGUGGGGGUUGGAAAGUUUCGGUGGUUGGGGAUGGACUCGCGGGUUAUCAGCUUGUUGGUGGGGUAGUGGCUUACCAAGGCUUUGACGGGUAGCCGGCCUGGGAGGGUGACCGGCCACAUUGGGACUGAGAUACGGCCCAGACUCGUACGGGAGGCAGCAGUGGGGAAUAUUGCACAAUGGGCGGAAGCCUGAUGCAGCAACGCCGCGUGCGGGAUGACGGCCUUCGGGUUGUAAACCGCUUUCGCCUGUGACGAAGCGUGAGUGACGGUAAUGGGUAAAGAAGCACCGGCUAACUACGUG
rnacentral:rRNA from 1 species